UACGUAGGGUCCGAGCGUUGUCCGGAAUUACUGGGCGUAAAGAGCUCGUAGGUGGUUUGUCGCGUUGUUCGUGAAAACUCACAGCUCAACUGUGGGCGUGCGGGCGAUACGGGCAGACUAGAGUACUGCAGGGGAGACUGGAAUUCCUGGUGUAGCGGUGGAAUGCGUAGAUAUCGGGAGGAACACCAGUGGCGAAGGCGGUUGCCUGGAGCUUUGCUGACGCUGAGGCGCGAAAGCGUGGGGAGCGAUCCGG
rnacentral:rRNA from 1 species